rnacentral:rRNA from 1 species
GACAGAGGCCCCAAGCGUUAGGCGGAAUCACUGGGCUUAAAGCGUGUGUAGGCGGAUCGUUAAGUGUCUUGUGAAAUCCCACGGCUCACCCGUGGAACUGCUGGGCAUACUGGCGAUCUUGGGCCAACUAGGGGCAGUCGGAACAAGCGGUGGAGCGGUGAAAUGCGUAGAGAUGUGGAGGAACACCGAUGGCGAAGGCAGCCUCCUGGGCCAGCACUGACGCUCAUGCACGAAAGCGUGGGGAGCAAACAGG